ACUGACUAUUAGACUUACCCCUGUAGUCCGAGGGUAGUAAACGCUGCAGACUUGGUGUUUGGAAGCCCUUUGGGGGCAUUCAGUGCCGGAGAGAAGUUGUUAAGUCUGCUACUUGGGAGUACGUCCGCAAGGAUGAAACUUAAAGGAAUUGGCGGGGGAGCACCGCAACGGGAGGAGCGUGCGGUUUAAUUUGGAUUCAACACCGUAAAACUCACCAGGGAAGACUGUUACAUGAAGGCCGAGAUGAAGACUCUGCUAGAUUUUCAG
rnacentral:rRNA from 1 species